UGGGGAAUCUUGCGCAAUGGGCGAAAGCCUGACGCAGCGACGCCGCGUGGGGGAAGAAGGCCUUCGGGUUGUAAACCUCUUUCAGCAGGGACGAAGCCACUCGGGUUAAUAGCCCAGAGGGUGACGGUACCUGCAGAAGAAGCCCCGGCUAACUACGUGCCAGCAGCCGCGGUAAUACGUAGGGGGCAAGCGUUGUCCGGAUUUAUUGGGCGUAAAGAGCGUGUAGGCGGCCAGACAGGUCCGUUGUGAAAACUAGAGGCUUAACCUCUAGACGUCGAUGGAAACCGUCUGGCUAGAGUCCGGAAGAGGAGAAUGGAAUUCCUGGUGUAGCGGUGAAAUGCGCAGAUAUCAGGAAGAACACCCGUGGCUAAGGCGGUUCUCUAGUACGGUACUGACGCUGAGACGCGAAAGCGUGGGGAGCGAACAGGAUUAGAUACCCUGGUAGUCCACGCCGUAAACGAUGGGUGCUAGGUGUGGGGGGUGUCGACUCCCUCCGUGCCGAAGCUAACGCAUUAAGCACCCCGCCUGGGGAGUACGGCCGCAAGGCUAA
rnacentral:rRNA from 1 species